CCUACGGGAGGCAGCAGUGAGGAAUAUUGGUCAAUGGACGAGAGUCUGAACCAGCCAAGUAGCGUGAAGGAUGACUGCCCUAUGGGUUGUAAACUUCUUUUAUAUGGGAAUAAAACAGGGUAUGCAUACCCUCUUGUAUGUACCAUAUGAAUAAGGAUCGGCUAACUCCGUGCCAGCAGCCGCGGUAAUACGGAGGAUCCGAGCGUUAUCCGGAUUUAUUGGGUUUAAAGGGAGCGUAGGUGGAUUGUUAAGUCAGUUGUGAAAGUUUGCGGCUCAACCGUAAAAUUGCAGUUGAAACUGGCAGUCGUGAGUACAGUAGAGGUGGGCGGAAUGCGUGGUGUAGCGGUGAAAUGCUUAGAUAUCACGAAGAACUCCGAUUGCGAAGGCAGCUCACUGGACUGCAACUGACACUGAUGCUCGAAAGUGUGGGUAUCAAACAGGAUGAGAGACCCCAGUAGUC
rnacentral:rRNA from 1 species